GAUGAACGCUGGCGGCGUGCCUAAUACAUGCAAGUCGAGCGAACAGACGAGGAGCUUGCUCCUCUGACGUUAGCGGCGGACGGGUGAGUAACACGUGGAUAACCUACCUAUAAGACUGGGAUAACUUCGGGAAACCGGAGCUAAUACCGGAUAAUAUAUUGAACCGCAUGGUUCAAUAGUGAAAGACGGUUUUGCUGUCACUGAUAGAUGGAUCCGCGCCGCAUUAGUUAGUUGGUAAGGUAACGGCUUACCAAGGCGACGAUGCGUAGCCGACCUGAGAGGGUGAUCGGCCCCACUGGAGCUGAGACACGGUCCAGACUCCUACGGGAGGCAGCAGUAGGGAAUCGUCGGCGAUGGGCGAAAGCCUGACGGAGCAACGCCGCGUGAGUGAUGAAGGUCUUCGGAUCGUAAAACUCUGUUAUUAGGGAAGAACAAAUGUGUAAGGGACUAUGCACGUCUUGACGGUACCUAAUCAGAAAGCCACGGCUAACUACGUG
rnacentral:rRNA from 1 species